rnacentral:rRNA from 1 species
UGCAAGUCGCACGAGAAAGGGACUUCGGUCCUGAGUACAGUGGCGCACGGGUGAGUAACACGUGAAUCAUCUACCUUCGAGUGGGGAAUAACUGAGAGAAAUCUUAGCUAAUACCGCAUAAUACCUACGGGUCAAAGCAGCAAUGCGCUUGAAGAGGAGUUCGCGGCAGAUUAGUUAGUUGGCGGGGUAAUGGCCCACCAAGACGAUGAUCGAUAUCCGGCCUGAGAGGGCGCACGGACACACUGGAACUGAAACACGGUCCAGACUCCUACGGGAGGCAGCAGUGGGGAAUUUUGCGCAAUGGGGGAAACCCUGACGCAGCAACGCCGCGUGGAGGAUGAAAUAUCUUGGUAUGUAAACUCCUUUCGAUGGGGAAGAUUAUGACGGUACCCAUAGAAGAAGCCCCGGCUAACUUCGUGCCAGCAGCCGCGGUAAUACGAGGGGGGCAAGCGUUGUUCGGAAUUAUUGGGCGUAAAGGGUGCGUAGGCGGUUUGACAAGUCUCAUGUGAAAUCUCUGGGCUCAACCCAGAGUCUGCAUGGGAAACUGUCGGGCUUGAGUAUUGGAGAGGUGAGUGGAAUUUCCGGUGUAGCGGUGAAAUGCGUAGAUAUCGGAAGGAACACCUGUGGCGAAAGCGGCUCACUGGACAAUAACUGACGCUGAUGCACGAAAG